rnacentral:rRNA from 1 species
AACAGGAUUAGAUACCCUGGUAGUCCACGCCGUAAACGAUGUCGACUUGGAGGUUGUUCCCUUGAGGAGUGGCUUCCGGAGCUAACGCGUUAAGUCGACCGCCUGGGGAGUACGGCCGCAAGGUUAAAACUCAAAUGAAUUGACGGGGGCCCGCACAAGCGGUGGAGCAUGUGGUUUAAUUCGAUGCAACGCGAAGAACCUUACCUACUCUUGACAUCCAGAGAACUUAGCAGAGAUGCUUUGGUGCCUUCGGGAACUCUGAGACAGGUGCUGCAUGGCUGUCGUCAGCUCGUGUUGUGAAAUGUUGGGUUAAGUCCCGCAACGAGCGCAACCCUUAUCCUUUGUUGCCAGCGGUUCGGCCGGGAACUCAAAGGAGACUGCCAGUGAUAAACUGGAGGAAGGUGGGGAUGACGUCAAGUCAUCAUGGCCCUUACGAGUAGGGCUACACACGUGCUACAAUGGCGCAUACAAAGAGAAGCGACCUCGCGAGAGCAAGCGGACCUCAUAAAGUGCGUCGUAGUCCGGAUCGGAGUCUGCAACUCGACUCCGUGAAGUCGGAAUCGCUAGUAAUCGUAGAUCAGAAUGCUACGGUGAAUACGUUCCCGGGCCUUGUACACACCGCCCGUCACACCAUGGGAGUGGGUUGCAAAAGAAGUAGGUAGCUUAACCUUCGGGAGGGCGCUUACCACUUUGUGAUUCAUGACUGGGGGUGAAGUCGUAACAAGGUAACC